AUGACAAGGCCUGUGCAAGCGCUAAGAGGAGCUGCGCCACAACUUUUGAUGCAUACGGCACUAGCAAGAGGUCCUGCGCGACCUCCUAUGGGUCCUAGACCAGCAAUUUGGCCUGCACCACAAACUAUGGGGGCUAUACAACCACCGCGGGGGCCUGCCGUGGCAAACACAACCUAUGUGGCUAUUCCUGGACUGGCACCAUUGCCUGCAUCAUCAGUAACAGUGGAUGGCAGGUAUGGACAGCACCCAGGUUCUUCAACUACACAAGAAGAAAAUGCCAAUGCAAUUCCAUCUCCUAUUGUGCAAACAAGCUCCUGGUGGACAUGCGCACCAGCCGCUCAGUAUGGCAUCUCUACAUGA
rnacentral:rRNA from 1 species